rnacentral:rRNA from 1 species
GAUGAACGCUGACAGAAUGCUUAACACAUGCAAGUCUUUGGCCAAUCUGUGCUUGCACAGGCUAGCCAAGGCGGACGGGUGAGUAACGCGUAAAGAACUUGCCCUGCAGACAGGGAUAACAGACGGAAACGACUGAUAACACCUGAUACAGUUGCCGGCACGCAUGUGCCUGGCAAUGAAAAGAGAUGCUGCAGGAGAGCUUUGCGUCCUAUUAGCUUGUUGGUGAGGUGACGGCUCACCAAGGCGAUGAUAGGUAGCCGGCCUGAGAGGGUGAACGGCCACAAGGGGACUGAGAUACGGCCCUUACUCCUACGGGAGGCAGCAGUGGGGAAUAUUGGACAAUGGGGGCAACCCUGAUCCAGCAAUUCUGUGUGCACGAAGAAGGUUUUCGGAUUGUAAAGUGCUUUCAGCAGGGAAGAAGAAAGUGACGGUACCUGCAGAAGAAGCGACGGCUAAAUACGUG